UGGGUGACGAAGUGGUUGAUGCCAUGCUUCCAAGAAAAGCUUCUAAGCUUCAGGUAACCAGGAACCGUACCCCAAACCGACACAGGUGGUUGGGUAGAGAAUACCAAGGCGCUUGAGAGAACUCGGGUGAAGGAACUAGGCAAAAUGGCACCGUAACUUCGGGAGAAGGUGCGCCGGUGAGGGUGAAGCACUUGCUGCGUAAGCCCACGCCGGUCGAAGAUACCAGGCCGCUGCGACUGUUUAUUAAAAACACAGCACUCUGCAAACACGAAAGUGGACGUAUAGGGUGUGACGCCUGCCCGGUGCCGGAAGGUUAAUUGAUGGGGUUAGCUAACGCGAAGCUCUUGAUCGAAGCCCCGGUAAACGGCGGCCGUAACUAUAACGGUCCUAAGGUAGCGAAAUUCCUUGUCGGGUAAGUUCCGACCUGCACGAAUGGCGUAACGAUGGCGGCGCUGUCUCCACCCGAGACUCAGUGAAAUUGAAAUCGCUGUGAAGAUGCAGUGUAUCCGCGGCUAGACGGAAAGACCCCGUGAACCUUUACUAUAGCUUUGCACUGGACUUUGAAUUUGCUUGUGUAGGAUAGGUGGGAGGCUUUGAAGCGUGGACGCCAGUUCGCGUGGAGCCAUCCUUGAAAUACCACCCUGGCAACUUUGAGGUUCUAACUCAGGUCCGUUAUCCGGAUCGAGGACAGUGUAUGGUGGGUAGUUUGACUGGGGCGGUCUCCUCCUAAAGAGUAACGGAGGAGUACGAAGGUGCGCUCAGACCGGUCGGAAAUCGGUCGUAGAGUAUAAAGGCAAAAGCGCGCUUGACUGCGAGACAGACACGUCGAGCAGGUACGAAAGUAGGUCUUAGUGAUCCGGUGGUUCUGUAUGGAAGGGCCAUCGCUCAACGGAUAAAAGGUACUCCGGGGAUAACAGGCUGAUACCGCCCAAGAGUUCAUAUCGACGGCGGUGUUUGGCACCUCGAUGUCGGCUCAUCACAUCCUGGGGCUGAAGCCGGUCCCAAGGGUAUGGCUGUUCGCCAUUUAAAGUGGUACGCGAGCUGGGUUUAGAACGUCGUGAGACAGUUCGGUCCCUAUCUGCCGUGGACGUUUGAGAUUUGAGAGGGGCUGCUCCUAGUACGAGAGGACCGGAGUGGACGAACCUCUGGUGUUCCGGUUGUCACGCCAGUGGCAUUGCCGGGUAGCUAUGUUCGGAAAAGAUAACCGCUGAAAGCAUCUAAGCGGGAAACUUGCCUCAAGAUGAGAUCUCACUGGGACCUUGAGUCCCCUGAAGGGCCGUCGAAGACUACGACGUUGAUAGGUGGGGUGUGUAAGCGCUGUGAGGCGUUGAGCUAACCCAUACUAAUUGCCCGUGAGGCUUGACCAUA
rnacentral:rRNA from 1 species